GACGAACGCUGGCGGCGUGCUUAACACAUGCGAGUCGUACGGUAAGGCCCUUUCGGGGGUACACGAGUGGCGAACGGGUGAGUAACACGUGAGUAACCUGCCCACAACUUUGGGAUAACGCUAGGAAACUGGUGCUAAUACUGGAUAUGUGCUCCUGCUGCAUGGUGGGGGUUGGAAAGCUCCGGCGGUUGUGGAUGGACUCGCGGCCUAUCAGCUUGUUGGUGGGGUAGUGGCCUACCAAGGCGGCGACGGGUAGCCGGCCUGAGAGGGUGACCGGCCACAUUGGGACUGAGAGACGGCCCAGACGCCUACGGGAGGCAGCAGUGGGGAAUAUUGCACAAUGGGCGCAAGCCUGAUGCAGCAACGCCGCGUGCGGGAUGACGGACUUCGGGUUGUAAACCGCUUUCAGCAGGGACGAAGCUUUUUGUGACGGUACCUGCAGAAGAAGCACCGGCUAACUACGUG
rnacentral:rRNA from 1 species